UAAGACGAACCGUGCGAACGUUAUUCGGAAUCAUUGGGCUUAAAGGGCGCGUAGGCGGCGGCGUAAGUUCGUGGUGAAAUCCCAUCGGCUCAACCGUGGAAUCGCUUCGAAUACUGCGUCGCUUGAGUGGGAUAGGGGACCGCAGAACUGCCGGUGGAGCGGUGAAAUGUGUUGAUAUCGGCGGGAAUGCCAGUGCCGAAAGGGGCGGUCUGGACCCUCACUGACGCUGAGGCGCGAAAGCUAGGGGAGCAAACGGGAUUAGAUACCCCGGUAGUCCUAGCCUUAAACGUUGGGUACUGGGUAGAAAGGGUACCGAUAGCCCCUUCUGCCGGAGCGAAAGUGUUAAGUACCCCGCCUGGGGAGUAUGGUCGCAAGGCUG
rnacentral:rRNA from 1 species